rnacentral:rRNA from 1 species
UACGGGGGGGGCAAGCGUUGUUCGGAAUUACUGGGCGUAAAGGGCUCGUAGGCGGCCAACUAAGUCAGACGUGAAAUCCCUCGGCUUAACCGGGGAACUGCGUCUGAUACUGGAUGGCUUGAGUUCGGGAGAGGGAUGCGGAAUUCCAGGUGUAGCGGUGAAAUGCGUAGAUAUCUGGAGGAACACCGGUGGCGAAGGCGGCAUCCUGGACCGGUAUUGACGCUGAGGCGCGAAAGCCAGGGGAGCAAACGGG